CUCGUUUAUGACCAGUGGAAAUCGAAUUCCAGGCUGCUAUUGAGGCAGAGAGAGCAAAGACCCAGGCUGCUUUUGAGGAGAGGGACCGGCAGUUGGCGGAGAGGGACCGACAGGCGGCGGAGAGGGACAGGGAGAAUGAGGAGAGGACGGCUAGGCUGUUGGAGGAGGAGAGGAACCGGAACGACUCGGCUAACCGGGCCAUGUACGAUCUCUUCGUGUCCAUGUGCGAGAAGAACGGCCAGACCCCUCCGCCGAUGCCAGU